AUCAUCAUGCGUUAAUCUGAGUCACUCAUUGUGAUCAAUCUCGACCGUUCGAUUACUCUUAAGAGGGAAACGGAUUUGGACCGUCCGCGCACACAAGAUCGUUCCUGGGCCGUCUAAUUGCGGAACACACGGAUCGCCAACGUGGCCUCCCGCGUGACACCGACAUUAGCGUGUCUUGCCACGUGGUGCGCUCUGGUUUGUCGAGAUUAUUGACUGGACGGUCUUACGUGACCAAACUUUUUCUAUUUGCACUUUAACCUUUUUGUUUCUAAUGUUUCUUUCAAAAAUACUUUCAGAAUUCAAAUUUUUAUCUAUUUUUU
rnacentral:lncRNA from 1 species